ACGUGCUUGGUCAGGCCUCCUAUAGUCAAUUGUUGACGCUCUGCGUCGGGACGUAUGUUUAACUGACAUGCGGCACAAGAAUGAGACAGUUAGGUUUAGGAAAAGAUCAUGGGUGGGGUUACAAAAUGUACGUAUUUAGUGACACGCGGGACAAGAACGGGACACGAAGCCCGGUCUCAUUGGUGAAAGACCUGUGUUGUUUGACCCA